GGGAGAGCUGAUUGGCUGAGCUGCAGCAGCAGCAGCCGUGUGUCUCUGAUAGUGGUGAGAUGCAGAUGGUUGGACUCAUAGACUUGGACUUCAGCAAGGGGGCGGUAGUAUUAAUAGACUGAUCUGCAUAUUUUGAUAUGUCUACCAAAGUAUCCACGCCUAUACCACAGACAAACCUGUGAGGCGCUGCAGGAAAGUGUUGAGGAUGGACAGUUGGAGCUGUAGAGAGAUGCCGCAGAUCGUCCCCGGACAGUUUGACGACGCGGAGGAAUCUGGAAGUGACUCAGAACUCAGUCAGAGCACAGACAAACCUGCAACACUGGAGACCAAACUCAGUGGAGUGAACCUGCAGCCCUCACCCAUUAAACCUCUACAGCAGGGCGGUGAUAUUGCUGCUGCUGAUGAUGUAGAUGAAGAUGAUGAUGAUGAUGAUGAAGAUGAUGAAGAUGAUGAUGACUAUGAUGAAUGGGACUGGAGUGGGUCAUCUGGAGGGAAUAUUACUAAACGCUACACUGCAGUGAGGACUGGAAGCAAUCCGCAGGUAUUCCAUUAACAAAAUAUACUAAAAUUUCUUUACAUUACAAAAUUAAGUGGGUUCAAACUGAAA
rnacentral:lncRNA from 1 species